rnacentral:rRNA from 1 species
AGUGAACGCUGGCGGCGUGCCUAAUACAUGCAAGUCGAACGAAGUGGCGCACGGGUGAGUAAUAUAUAGUUAAUCUGCCCUACACAGAGGAACAACAGUUGGAAACGACUGCUAAUACCUCAUAGUGUAGGAUGAGACUAUCUCGUAUCAGCUAGUUGGUAAGGUAAUGGCUUAUCAAGGCUAUGACGCGUAACUGGUCUGGGAGGAUGAUCAGUGACAUUGGAACUGGGACACGGUGCAAACUCCUACGGGAGGAAGCAGUAAGGAAUAUAGCGCAAUGGGGGAAACCCUGACGCAGAAACGGCGGGUGGAGGAUGACACUAUUAGGAGCGUAAACUCCUUUUAUCAGGAAAGCGGUACCGGAUGAAUAGGCACCGGCUAACUGCGUGCAAGCGGCGGGGGUAAUA